ACAAUAAAAUUUCUUCCAGAUAAUUUAUUCCUCAACAAUGGUAUAAAUUAUUUUCCAUAAACUUAUGACAUUUAAUAAAAGUUUAUUGUGGUACUAAUAAUGUAUUUUUUAUCCAAAAGUAUUAACACAAAUUAAUAUAAUAUUAAAAUAUAAAAGGUCAUAAAUCAUCUAUUAUAACAUUAAAAAAUUAAAAAAUUAUAAAUGAUCUUAUUUUCAUCCAAAAAAAAGAAACUAAAAAUUCACAUAACUAAUAAAUAAAAAAUGUGACUCCAACGACCA
rnacentral:lncRNA from 1 species